rnacentral:rRNA from 1 species
CCUACGGGGGGCAGCAGUGGGGAAUAUUGGACAAUGGGGGGAACCCUGAUCCAGCCAUGCCGCGUGUGUGAAGAAGGCCCUCGGGUUGUAAAGCACUUUCAGUGAGGAAGAACGCCUGGUGGUUAAUACCCAUCAGGAAAGACAUCACUCACAGAAGAAGCACCGGCUAACUCCGUGCCAGCAGCCGCGGUAAUACGGAGGGUGCGAGCGUUAAUCGGAAUUACUGGGCGUAAAGCGCGCGUAGGUGGCUUGAUAAGCCGGUUGUGAAAGCCCCGGGCUCAACCUGGGAACGGCAUCCGGAACUGUCAAGCUAGAGUGCAGGAAAGGAAGGUAGAAUUCCCGGUGUAGCGGUGAAAUGCGUAGAGAUCGGGAGGAAUACCAGUGGCGAAGGCGGCCUUCUGGACUGACACUGACACUGAGGUGCGAAAGCGUGGGUAGCAAACAGGAUUAGAUACCCUUGUAGUC